rnacentral:rRNA from 1 species
GUACACUCCUACGGGAGGCAGCAGUGGGGAAUAUUGGACAAUGGGCGCAAGCCUGAUCCAGCCAUGCCGCGUGAGUGAUGAAGGCCCUAGGGUUGUAAAGCUCUUUCACCGGUGAAGAUAAUGACGGUAACCGGAGAAGAAGCCCCGGCUAACUUCGUGCCAGCAGCCGCGGUAAUACGAAGGGGGCUAGCGUUGUUCGGAUUUACUGGGCGUAAAGCGCACGUAGGCGGACUAUUAAGUCAGGGGUGAAAUCCCGGGGCUCAACCCCGGAACUGCCUUUGAUACUGGUAGUCUUGAGUUCGAGAGAGGUGAGUGGAAUUCCGAGUGCAGAGGUGAAAUUCGUAGAUAUUCGGAGGAACACCAGUGGCGAAGGCGGCUCACUGGCUCGAUACUGACGCUGAGGUGCGAAAGCGUGGGGAGCAAACAGGAUUAGAAACCCCAGAGUCCCAUGA